UAAGUUGUAGGCCUAUCAGCUGGUAGUUAGGGUAAUGGCCUAACUAGGCGGAGACGGGAGACGGGGGAUCGGGGUUUGAUUCCGGAGAGGGAGCCUGAGAGAUGGCUACUACGUCCAAGGAUGGCAGCAGGCGCGAAACUUGCCUAAUCCUUUGGGGAGGCGGUUAUGAGAAGUGAGUUUUUUUCGAGUGUAAAGGAGUCGAGAUUGAUUGGAGGGCAAGUCGGGUGCCAGCAGCCGCGGUAAUACCUGCUCCAAUAGUGUCUAUGGUGAAUGCUGCAGUUAAAAAGUCCGUAGUC
rnacentral:rRNA from 1 species